AUUGAACGCUGGCGGCAGGCCUAACACAUGCAAGUCGAACGAGUGGCGGACGGGUGAGUAAUUUCUGGGAAACUGCCUGAUGGAGGGGGAUAACUACUGGAAACGGUAGCUAAUACCGCAUACCAUCAGAUGUGCCCAGGUGUGAUUAGCUUUUUGUGGGGGUAACGGCUCACCAAGGAGACGAUCCCUAGCUGGUCUUAGAGCAUGACCAGCCACACUGUAACGGAGACACGGUCCAGCCUCCUACGGGAGGCAGCAGUGGGGGAGAUUUCACAAUGGGAGCAAGACUGAUGCAGCCAUGCCGCGUGUAUGAAGAAGGCCUGCGGGUUGUAAAGUACUUUCAGCGGGGAGGCGUUACCCGCAGAAGAAGAUCCGGCUAACUCCGUGCCAGCAGACGCGGUAAGUC
rnacentral:rRNA from 1 species